UACGGAGGAUCCAAGCGUUUAUCCGGAAUCAUUGGGUUUAAAGGGUCCGUAGGCGGUCUUAUAAGUCAGUGGUGAAAUCUCUCCGCUCAACGGGGAAACGGCCAUUGAUACUGUAAGACUUGAAUUAUUGGGAAGUAACUAGAAUAUGUAGUGUAGCGGUGAAAUGCUUAGAUAUUACAUGGAAUACCGAUUGCGAAGGCAGGUUACUACCAAUGGAUUGACGCUGAUGGACGAAAGCGUGGGGAGCGAACAGG
rnacentral:rRNA from 1 species